GUACGAUUCAACCACCAAGCAAGCCAGAAACGAGUGCUCUCAAAACACUGGCACUGUUGCAGCAGGGUUGGUUGGAGGCUGAACAUUGAUGGCAACAGUUGGUGUGAUGGUUAAUACUGAGUGUCAACUGGAGUGGAUUGAAGGAUGCAAAGUACUAUUCCUAGGUCUGUCUGUGAGGGUGUUGUCAAAGGAGAUUCACAUUUGAGUCGGUGGACUGGGAGAGGCAGACCCACCCUCAAUCUGGGCGGGCACCAUCUAAUCAGCUGCCAGCGUGGCUAGAAUAAAUCAGGCAGAGGAAGGUGGAAGGACUGGACUUGCUGAGUCUUCCGGCCUUCAACUUUCUCCCGUGCUGGAUGCGUCCUGCCCUCGAACAUCGGACUCCAAGUCCUUCAGCUUUUCAGCUCUUGCAUUUACACCAGUGGUUUUUCAAGGGCUCUCGGGCCUUUGGCCGCAGACUGAAGGCUGCACUGCCGGCUUCCCUGCUUUUGAGGUUUUGGGACUUGGACUGAUCCACCACUGGCUUCCUGGCUCCUCAGCUUGCAGAUGGCCUAUUGUGGGACUUCACCUUGUGACUGUCUGGCAAUGGAUACCUCGGAGAUGGGGAGCAUAUCUGGCUGCAGCCAGCUGCAGAUGAAUCAUCUGAGGACACUGAAUUCAGCGGCGAGGCGCUAGGGACUCAAAUGAACUGGAAAGGCCAGGAAUAGCAGCACAUGGAGGGAGCGCCAUCCAGCGUGGAGGGAAGAUGCUGCCCAGCUGUGCCACUGCCCAGCAGCCUCCGGGCAAGGUCCUGCUUGAGCUGACUCUCCAGCAGCCGAGAAGGUCUGUGCCAGCCAUGCACACACCCCUGAGCGUGUCCCCUGCCAGGACUAAGCACGGGCAGCCUCUGGACAUCUGCAAAUUAAAAAGAAGACACCCCUGCUCUUUCCAGCUGUAUGAACCAGUCCCGGACCAGACGCCUGUGUCUGCUAAGGGUUUUCUCACUUAUUUGCUAAACCCCUGUCCCUGCUCUAAGAAGAGCACCUAACCUGCCCACCUCCCCGUAUACGGUCUCCCCCGGCAAUGAAAUGAGAAGCACUUUUGGCCUCAUGUUUACUUGAUGGAUGGACAAAACACAGAACAUGACGCAGUCACCACCGCCGAUGGCCACAGAGUGACAGGUGAUUGCGGGAAAUUAAACAGCCCUCCCUAAGUCAUCCAUCAUGAGAACCUCAUUCCUUCCCUCGGCCAAGGGUCGGCAGUGCUCUCGCGGAGCAAUUCAUCACCGGCGGGCCAUGUCAUCGCAGGCCGUCGCCUCUCCGGGAAGCCGGGAUCGACCAGGCCCGGCUCGCCCGCCCGGAAAUGCCUUUUAAGCGCCAUCCUAAGUGGGAAUUUAAUUGAAGUGUAAUAAGGCAUCUAAUGUGAGAUUAAGAGGCAAGGCCACCUGGAAUGAGCCGUCACUUAAAUAAUUACUUUGCUUUCUCGGUCACAGCUCCCUCACCAGUGACCGUGUGGUCAUUUAGCAUCAGUAUCGGAGGUAGAGGCGGUCCUGGGGGCUCGCCAGGUCCUGUUUCCCAGCCCGCCUUCUGGGCAGUGGGAGAGGUGGAAGACCAGCCUGGUGGGGAAGUGGGGUCACGUGGCCGGUCCUGGCCAAUGAGAUGCGCAGUCCCUUUUCAGAACUGGGCCCGGGUCUCUCUGCGCCUUGCUCUUCCCUGCCCUCCCCAGGACGAACGCAGGCCUGGCACUGGGCUGACGGAGUGGCCGCUGCCCGGGUCACGCCAUAGAGGCCAGCACUUGCAGCGGCUUGGCCUGGCCCCAGAGCAGUUUCUAUGUGCGUGAAAGGACCGAAGAUUCAGGUCACCAUAGCGUAACGCAGACCAGAUGGACACCCCACAUAGGGCCCCUGCAGCCUGCGAGCUAGGGGUGCUGCCUGCAAAGAGGAAGGACGUGGGGUUUGCUUCACCUGCCUCCAGUUUGGAUGAGACCUCGGGACCCACUUCCAGUGUUUCCAUUUUAGAGGGAAGGGCAAGAAGCUAUAUUUCAAGAAGGGGGGCCAUGCCCCGCCACCUGGCAGCGGAGCCUGAGCUGAACCUGCUUGGCCCUCCCAACCUUCUCAGAGCUCCUGCCUACCAGGACCUGCUGUAGGAGCUUUUGGGGUCUUGGUGACCCAGUCAGAGCCACUCGGUCACAGGAUCAGCUGCUGCCUGGUGAGUGCCCUCUUACCGGCUUCCCCCUAAGGCCACUGGUAAGGCUGGGACCUUUAUGGGUAGAGAGGCCCGGCUGGUCACGACCACUGUCCUGUGAACAUCAUUCUGAAGUCGACGGCACUGACUUGUAAGUGGAGGGGGCAGAUCCAGUAGAAAACACACCGCGGGUUUUGUAGGUGGUGGGAAGUCUUUCAACAGGCAUUUUUGGACAGCCUGCUGUGCGCACGGCACCCAGUGUUCUGUGAAUCUUGCCAUUGAUCUCAAGGCCAGCCAGAUGCCCAUGAAAUAUCGGGCACGUUGGGCAGCAGGCUUUUAUUUUGGUCUGAGUUCAGCCUGCUGUUAUUACUUCCUCAUCUUUUCCUUUCAGGUUUCCAAAAGCCUGGGCCCGUGGUGAAUCCUGGCUGGGAGGAACUUUGAGGGCACCCCUGGGCUCCUCCCCUGUGCCCUGCCCCCCGCCGACGCCAUCCCUGAUAGUGCCCAGAUUCUCCUUAACUUAUUUCCAGGAGCGGCAGCGCUGGCUUUCUCAGUGCCUCUGGGGACAGGCCGUUCACCCCGCCCGCCACUACUCGGGCCACUUUUGACCCCCGGGAGUAUUCGGCAACAAGUCUGGCAAGAGCAUCAGUGUGGGUGGCCAGUGACCACGUGCAGCACUUGGCCUGCAGCAAGAGCCAGCUGCAUGGGCUGGGCUGGAGUCAGGGGCUUGUCUGGACCUCAUCAGGAUGCAGAGGAGGGAUCUGGCCUGGAGGACCCUGCCCUGCACGUCCGCCUCAGAGCCAGGGUGACCCUUUGCCUUUGUCCUUGAAGAAAUGCAUUUCAGGGACUCAAUGUCCCUGAUUGUCCCGAUCCAGAGUCCAGAGCAGGAGAGGCUGUCACUCCCUCCCCUGUCCCUGGAACAUUAGAACAGCCCAUGGGAGGGGCAACACUGUCCUUGGGAGACCUCAGUCCUCAUCCAUCCCACCCUGAAUGUCAAAGCCACGUGACGGAGUUCAACCAGCUUCCUCCAAGCUGGCCAUGCCUUUCCACACCCGUCUUUGGCGGGUUCCCUUCUGAAAUUCCUCCUCUUCCUCCCACAUGCGCCUUCCCACGACCUCCAUGCUUCUAAGGAGCAAUCGUGCCUCCUGGAUGCCUCUCUGUCAGCUUUCAAUGUGGGGAAUAAAGACCUACGGAAGUGUUGGCAAGCCAGUUAAAAAUAGCCCCAUCUAUUAAAAGGUGAAAACGUGGUGAGAAACACAGGCAGGGUGGGGGUGAAUGUGCUGCCUGCCUCAGCCCUGCCCUCUUUCUGGAAGAGCCAGCCCUCCCCAGACUCGGCAGCCCAAUCAGAUGCCCUGACCCCACCAGCCACCUCCAACCCACGCGAGCCCUUUGGGUGGCGGCCCUGGCUGCCCAGUGAGUAUCUAUCUCAAGCCUGUGUGGAUGUCAGUUUGCUUUUUAAUCUUGUUCCCUUGAUACAUAUCAGCUUUUAAAUCAAGGAAUGUGUCUUCCCAAAUGAAGAGGCUUUUAUUAGGCACCCUGUAUCGCUUUCAAAAGAAAAAGUCACAUUAAUUCC
rnacentral:lncRNA from 1 species